rnacentral:rRNA from 1 species
AGUGAACGCUGGCGGUAGGCCUAACACAUGCAAGUCGAACGGCAGCACAGUAAGAGCUUGCUCUUACGGGUGGCGAGUGGCGGACGGGUGAGGAAUACAUCGGAAUCUACUUUUUCGUGGGGGAUAACGUAGGGAAACUUACGCUAAUACCGCAUACGACCUACGGGUGAAAGCAGGGGAUCUUCUGACCUUGCGCGAUUGAAUGAGCCGAUGUCGGAUUAGCUAGUUGGCGGGGUAAAGGCCCACCAAGGCGACGAUCCGUAGCUGGUCUGAGAGGAUGAUCAGCCCCACUGGAACUGAGACACGGUCCAGACUCCUACGGGAGGCAGCGGUGGGGAAUAUUGGACAAUGGGAGCAAGCCUGAUCCAGCCCUACCGCGUGGGUGACGAAGGCCUUCGGGUUGUAAAGCCAUUUUGUUGGGAAAGAAAAGCAGCAGGUUAAUACCCCGCUGUUCUGACGGUACCCAAAGAAUAAGCACCGGCUAACUUCGUG